GACGAACGCUGGCGGCGUGCUUAACACAUGCAAGUCGAACGGAAAGGCCCUGCUUUUGUGGGGUGCUCGAGUGGCGAACGGGUGAGUAACACGUGAGUAACCUGCCCUUGACUUUGGGAUAACUUCAGGAAACUGGGGCUAAUACCGGAUAGGAGCUCCUGCUGCAUGGUGGGGGUUGGAAAGUUUCGGCGGUUGGGGAUGGACUCGCGGCUUAUCAGCUUGUUGGUGGGGUAGUGGCUUACCAAGGCUUUGACGGGUAGCCGGCCUGAGAGGGUGACCGGCCACAUUGGUACUGAGAUACGGCCCAGACUCCUACGGGAGGCAGCAGGGGGGAAUAUUGCACAAUGGGCGGAAGCCUGAUGCAGCAACGUCGCGUGCGGGAUGACGGCCUUCGGGUUGUAAACCGCUUUCGCCUGUGACGAAGCGUGAGUGACGGUAAUGGGUAAAGAAGCACCGGCUAACUACGUG
rnacentral:rRNA from 1 species